GAAUCCAUUCCCAGGGAAAUUCUCACCACAUAGCACAUGAACACAGGUGCCAGGAUGCAGCUGCGCCUUCCUUUGUGAAGCAAAAACUUGGAAAUAUCCUUAAAAGUGAUUAAGUAAAUGAGAGUAUCAUCAUCUGUGCUCUGGAGUGCAAGACCACGGACUAUGGCUUUCUGGAUUCUCUGGUGACACCUGCUGACACAAAGGGAUACUGCAGCCCAGGCUGGAAGAGGAAAUUUGGACACAGACACAAACAGAGGGAGGGCCGUGGGAGCCCAGAGCAAGAAGGUGGCCAUCUACAAGCCCCUGAGCAAGGCUGCGGGAGAAGCCAGCCCCGCUCACACCUU
rnacentral:lncRNA from 1 species